rnacentral:rRNA from 1 species
CGCAGCCGCGGUAAUUCCAGCUCCAAUAGCGUAUAUUAAAGUUGUUGCAGUUAAAAAGACUCGUAGUUGAAUUUCGGGGUCAGUAGGUUGGUCAUGCCUCCGGUAUGUACUGGUCUCACUGAUUCCUCCUUCCUGAUGAACCGUAAUGCCAUUAAUUUGGUGUUGCGGGGAGACUGGACUGUUACUUUGAAAAAAUUAGAGUGUUUAAAGCAGGCUAACGCUUGAAUACAUUAGCAUGGAAUAAUGAAAUAGGACGUUCGAUCCUAUUUUGUUGGUUUCUUAGGAUUUGACGUAAUGAUUAAUAGGGAUAGUUGGGGGCAUUAGUAUUCAAUUGUCAGAGGUGAAAUUCUUGGAUUUUAUUGAAGACUAACUACUGCGAAAAGCAUUUGCCAAGGAUGUUUUCAUUAAUCAAGAACGAAAGUUGGGGGAUCGAAGACGAUCAGAUACCGU